GCAGUCGCCGCGGUAAUACAGAGGGUGCGAGCGUUAAUCGGAUUUACUGGGCGUAAAGCGUGCGUAGGCGGCUUUUUAAGUCGGAUGUGAAAUCCCUGAGCUUAACUUAGGAAUUGCAUUCGAUACUGGGAAGCUAGAGUAUGGGAGAGGAUGGUAGAAUUCCAGGUGUAGCGGUGAAAUGCGUAGAGAUCUGGAGGAAUACCGAUGGCGAAGGCAGCCAUCUGGCCUAAUACUGACGCUGAGGUACGAAAGCAUGGGGAGCAAACAGGAUUAGAUACCCCCGUAGUCCCUGUCUCUUAUAC
rnacentral:rRNA from 1 species